CUACGGGUCGCACCAGUGAGGAAUAUUGCACAAUGGGGGGAACCCUGAUGCAGCAACGCCGCGUGGAGGAUGACGCACUUCGGUGUGUAAACUCCUUUUAUAUGUCAAGAAAAUGACGGUAGCAUAUGAAUAAGCACCGGCUAACUCCGUGCCAGCAGCCGCGGUAAUACGGAGGGUGCAAGCGUUACUCGGAAUCACUGGGCGUAAAGGACGCGUAGGCGGGUUGGAAAGUCAGGUGUGAAAUCCUAUAGCUUAACUGUAGAACUGCACUUGAAACUUCUAAUCCAGAGUAUGGGAGGGGGAGAUGGAAUUAGUGGUGUAGGGGUAAAAUCCGUAGAUAUCACUAGGAAUACCUAAAGCGAAGGCGAUCUCCUGGAACAUUACUGACGCUAAGGCGCGAAAGCGUGGGGAGCAAACAGGAUUAGAUACCCGAGUAGUC
rnacentral:rRNA from 1 species